GACGAACGCUGGCGGCGUGCUUAACACAUGCAAGUCGAACGAUGAACCCGGAGCUUGCUCCGGUGGAUUAGUGGCGAACGGGUGAGUAACACGUGAGUAACCUGCCCUUGACUCUGGGAUAACUGCGGGAAACUGUAGCUAAUACCGGAUACGACCCUCGGCGGCAUCGCCAGGGGGUGGAAAGAAUUUCGGUCAAGGAUGGACUCGCGGCCUAUCAGCUAGUUGGUGAGGUAACGGCUCACCAAGGCGACGACGGGUAGCCGGCCUGAGAGGGUGACGGGCAACACGGGGACUGAAACAGGGCCCAGACUCCUACGGGAGGCAGCAGUGGGGAAUAUUGCACAGUGGGCGCAAGCCUGAGGCAGCAACGCCGCGUGGGGAAUGACGGCCUUCGGGUUGUAAACCUCUUUUAGUAGGAAAGAAGCGAAAGUGACGGUACCUGCAGAAAAAGCACCGGCUAACUACGUGCCAGCAGCCGCCGUAA
rnacentral:rRNA from 1 species